rnacentral:rRNA from 1 species
GACGAACGCUGGCGGCGUGCUUAACACAUGCAAGUCGAACGGAACGGCCCUGCUUUUGUGGGGUGCUCGAGUUGCGAACGGGUGAGUUACACGUGGGUAACCUGCCCCUGACCUUGGGAUAACCUCAUGAAACUGGGGCUAAUACCGGAUAGGAGCUCCUGCUGCAUGGUGGGGGUUGGAAAGUUUCGGCGGUUGGGGAUGGACUCGCGGCUUAUCAGCUUGCUGGUGGGGUAGUGGAUUACCAAGGCUUUGACGGGUAGCCGGCCUGCGCGGGGGAGCGGCCACGUUGGGACUGAGAUGCGGCACAGACUCGUACGGGAGGGAACAGUGGGGAGUAUUGCACAGUGGGCGGGAGGCUGAUGCGGCCACGCAGCGUGGGGGGUGACGGCCUUCGGGUUGUGAACCGCUUUCGCCUGUGACGAGGCGUGAGUGACGGUACUGGGUGAAGAAGCACCGGCUAACUACGUG